AAAGCGGCGGGCAGCGCGCCGGGCUGGCGGCGCACGCACACUCACACUCACACACACACUCGCUCACUCGCUCACUCACUCACUCGUACACACACAAUGCUGCCGCGGCACCUACCAGGCGGGCAGCCUCGGCCCAGGUGUCGGCUCGGAGAGAUCCCGCGUUAGCGUUUCGGCUCCUUCUGUUAUCGGAGCAGGAAAGAACAUCUUCUUGUGCCAGUGUAAACAAAGGAGUUGAUGUGCUACGCUCGUAAAACUGCCGAGGGAUGUGUUCUCUUCUUAGACGACCUCGGAUUAAGACAUACACGAAAUGCGAAUCAAAAGACUUAGCACACCGUCCUGAAUUGCAGGAUAUUACGAUGUGGGUUCUUCCUCAGUUUCUUCCUCUCCCCCAAAUAUUAAAGUAUAUUUGGAAUAGUA